CCUACGGGAGGCAGCAGUAAGGAAUAUUGGUCAAUGGAGGCAACUCUGAACCAGCCAUGCCGCGUGCAGGAAGACAGCCCUCUGGGUCGUAAACUGCUUUUAUUCGGGAAUAAACCUUAUUACGUGUAAUAAGCUGAAUGUACCGAAGGAAUAAGGAUCGGCUAACUCCGUGCCAGCAGCCGCGGUAAUACGGAGGAUCCAAGCGUUAUCCGGAUUUAUUGGGUUUAAAGGGUGCGUAGGCGGCUUAUUAAGUCAGGGGUGAAAGACGGUGGCUCAACCAUCGCAGUGCCUUUGAUACUGAUGAGCUUGAAUGAACUAGAGGUAGGCGGAAUGUGACAAGUAGCGGUGAAAUGCAUAGAUAUGUCACAGAACACCGAUUGCGAAGGCAGCUUACUAUGGUUUUAUUGACGCUGAGGCACGAAAGCGUGGGGAUCAAACAGGAUUAGAUACCCUGGUAGUCCACGCCCUAAACGAUGAAUACUCGCUGUUAGCGAUAUACAGUUAGCGGCUAAGCGAAAGCGUUAAGUAUUCCACCUGGGAGUAACGCCGCAAGGUUGAAACGUUCAAAGGAAUUGACGGCGNGAGAGNGCGAGACGACGACGAGGGAGGAGG
rnacentral:rRNA from 1 species